AGCGAACGCUGGCGGCAGGCCUAACACAUGCAAGUCGAACGAACUCUUCGGAGUUAGUGGCGGACGGGUGAGUAACACGUGGGAACGUGCCUUUUGGUUCGGAAUAACUCAGGGAAACUUGUGCUAAUACCGAAUGUGCCCUUCGGGGGAAAGAUUUAUCGCCAUUAGAGCGGCCCGCGUCUGAUUAGCUAGUUGGUGAGGUAACGGCUCACCAAGGCGACGAUCAGUAGCUGGUCUGAGAGGAUGACCAGCCACACUGGGACUGAGACACGGCCCAGACUCCCACCGGAGGGAGGAAGGGGGGAUCCUGCGGAAAUGGGCGAAGGCUGAAGGCGGCCAGGCGGGGUGAUUGAGGAGGGUCCUGGAAUGGUAAAUUUCUUUCACCGGGAAGAUUAAGACGGGAACCGGAGGAAGAAGCCCGGCUAACUUCGUG
rnacentral:rRNA from 1 species